rnacentral:rRNA from 1 species
AAAUUGAAGAGUUUGAUCAUGGCUCAGAUUGAACGCUGGCGGCAGGCCUAACACAUGCAAGUCGAACGGUAACAGGAAGCAGCUUGCUGCUUCGCUGACGAGUGGCGGACGGGUGAGUAAUGUCUGGGAAACUGCCUGAUGGAGGGGGAUAACUACUGGAAACGGUAGCUAAUACCGCAUAAUGUCGCAAGACCAAAGAGGGGGACCUUCGGGCCUCUUGCCAUCGGAUGUGCCCAGAUGGGAUUAGCUUGUUGGUGGGGUAACGGCUCACCAAGGCGACGAUCCCUAGCUGGUCUGAGAGGAUGACCAGCCACACUGGAACUGAGACACGGUCCAGACUCCUACGGGAGGCAGCAGUGGGGAAUAUUGCACAAUGGGCGCAAGCCUGAUGCAGCCAUGCCGCGUGUAUGAAGAAGGCCUUCGGGUUGUAAAGUACUUUCAGCGGGGAGGAAGGGAGUAAAGUUAAUACCUUUGCUCAUUGACGUUACCCGCAGAAGAAGCACCGGCUAACUCCGUGCCAGCAGCCGCGGUAAUACGGAGGGUGCAAGCGUUAAUCGGAAUUACUGGGCGUAAAGCGCACGCAGGCGGUUUGUUAAGUCAGAUGUGAAAUCCCCGGGCUCAACCUGGGAACUGCAUCUGAUACUGGCAAGCUUGAGUCUCGUAGAGGGGGGUAGAAUUCCAGGUGUAGCGGUGAAAUGCGUAGAGAUCUGGAGGAAUACCGGUGGCGAAGGCGGCCCCUGGACGAAGACUGACGCUCAGGUGCGAAAGCGUGGGGAGCAAACAGGAUUAGAUACCCUGGUAGUCCACGCCGUAAACGAUGUCGACUUGGAGGUUGUGCCCUUGAGGCGUGGCUUCCGGAGCUAACGCGUUAAGUCGACCGCCUGGGGAGUACGGCCGCAAGGUUAAAACUCAAAUGAAUUGACGGGGGCCCGCACAAGCGGUGGAGCAUGUGGUUUAAUUCGAUGCAACGCGAAGAACCUUACCUGGUCUUGACAUCCACAGAACUUUCCAGAGAUGGAUUGGUGCCUUCGGGAACUGUGAGACAGGUGCUGCAUGGCUGUCGUCAGCUCGUGUUGUGAAAUGUUGGGUUAAGUCCCGCAACGAGCGCAACCCUUAUCCUUUGUUGCCAGCGGUCCGGCCGGGAACUCAAAGGAGACUGCCAGUGAUAAACUGGAGGAAGGUGGGGAUGACGUCAAGUCAUCAUGGCCCUUACGACCAGGGCUACACACGUGCUACAAUGGCGCAUACAAAGAGAAGCGACCUCGCGAGAGCAAGCGGACCUCAUAAAGUGCGUCGUAGUCCGGAUUGGAGUCUGCAACUCGACUCCAUGAAGUCGGAAUCGCUAGUAAUCGUGGAUCAGAAUGCCACGGUGAAUACGUUCCCGGGCCUUGUACACACCGCCCGUCACACCAUGGGAGUGGGUUGCAAAAGAAGUAGGUAGCUUAACCUUCGGGAGGGCGCUUACCACUUUGUGAUUCAUGACUGGGGUGAAGUCGUAACAAGGUAACCGUAGGGGAACCUGCGGUUGGAUCACCUCCUUACCUUAAAGAAGC